rnacentral:rRNA from 1 species
GACGAACGCUGGCGGUGUGCUUAACACAUGCAAGUCGAACGGUAAGGCCCUUUCGGGGGUACACGAGUGGCGAACGGGUGAGUAACACGUGAGUAACCUGCCCUCAUCUCUGGGAUAACAGUCGGAAACGGUUGCUAAUACUGGAUAUGAGCUUGCAAGGCAUCUUGUGUGUUGGAAAGAUUUUUUUUGGUUGGGGAUGGACUCGCGGCCUAUCAGCUUGUUGGUGAGGUAGUGGCUCACCAAGGCUUCGACGGGUAGCCGGCCUGAGAGGGCGACCGGCCACAUUGGGACUGAGAGACGGCCCAAACUCCUACGGGAGGCAGCAGUGGGGAAUAUUGCACAAUGGACGGAAGUCUGAUGCAGCAACGCCGCGUGCGGGAUGACGGCCUUCGGGUUGUAAACCGCUUUCAAUUGUGACGAAGCUUUUUUGUGACGGUAGCAGUAGAAGAAGCACCGGCUAACUACGUG